ensembl:lncRNA
AACAGCCGCGUUCCGGACGAUCAGUGUGCCCCACGCGGGGUGGACGGUCACAGACAGCCGUUGGAAAACUUGCCGUCAUUCUGGUCACCUCGUUAACAAGCGGAGACUUUUGUAAAUUCACACAUUUAAACACAGCCCUGAAGAUGAGCUAAACGAAGACUGAAGUUAACCGAGCCGUGCGGGACAGUCAGCAACACGGCAGCACGUUCAUCCUUCUCUCCCACUGCACCGUAAACUGUCACAAAAAGCGGACACUUACCUUCACCGACAGUCCGUUCACCACCGGGAGGAGAGAGCUCGGCGUUUGUAUCCGGACUCACAACGUGGAGUGGAAGCCGGUGGCGGAAGCGGCAACAACAACGGCAACGGCUGCAAACGGUCUCCGGCCAGCCUGCUGUCAGCGCACAACCAACACAGGGGGGGAGCGGAGGUUGCAGCUGCGCAUGCGCCCACCAACUGCUACUGCGAAAAUGAAGAUCGUCUAACGGCAAGAUGGCCCAAGAUUUACAAAUUGUACGAGCUUUGCUGGAGGGAGCCUGAGAACAAAGAAUUUGAUUGGGCCUUCUGCGCUUCAAUAUAGCAAAGUAUUGAACAAUGAAAGAAUUUCUUGCUCCACUGUUGAUGGAAAAGCACAGAGAGAUGGGAGUUACUGCAGAUGUGUCAGUGUGAGCAGAGGUAUGUUAAUGAACUCUUUGACAUUGUGAUGAAAAUAGACACAAAAUGUCUAACUUUCAUACGGCGAUACAAAGUAAGUAAAGCAGUCUCUCCUGAGCUCAAGAUUAAUGGUUGAUCAUCCACAACAAUGUUUACUGUGUAUACAAGCUUUCCCUUCAGCUGAUUAAAUAUCUGCAGCCCACUGGAGGUUGGUAUGUAUGAUCCAUCUGUAGCCUCUAAUUUGAACACUGCUGUGCCAUUACCCACUGUGUCUGAACACUGUUUACUGUGAAAUUAUGUGCUGCCAAAACCAGCGUGCUGCAAAAUACCAACUCAAACCUCUGCGGCUGGGUUUAGAAUCCUGGACAAACAAGACACAUUUCUAUUGACGCUCACAAGAAAGUCAGUCACUGCACAUAACAUUUAUUGUGUAAAUCACCACGUUACAAAAUAUGCAACAUUAUUCACAGAAAACCAAAAUUAAUGAACGUUUAUCUUCACAAACUGGAUCUACUUUGAAAGCCACAUCGUCCAUCUUUGGCGACAAACUGUAUUUGUAAAUCAUUCAUGCAUUAUUUUCCUACUUGGUGAAGUUGUUGUCAUCAUGCACCACUGUAAUUUGCACAGCAGAUUAAAGUAUGGGACCAGUUAAAUGCUAAAUAUUAUGUUUGUAUACUGCCAGUGUGGGAUUAGGGUUAGACUAACAGAACACCUUGCUAAAGGUUAGGGAAUAAGCAAUAAAAUAAAACAAUAAAAAAUAAAUCUUUCCUUUUGCCUAAACAGAAC